AUUGAACGCUGGCGGCAGGCCUAACACAUGCAAGUCGAGCGGAUGAAGGGUGCUUGCUCCUGGCUUCAGCGGCGGACGGGUGUGUAAUGCCUAGGAAUCUGCCUGGUAGUGGGGGAUAACGUCCGGAAACGGGCGCUACUACCGCAUACGUCCUGUGGGAGAACGUGGGGGAUCUUCGGACCUCACGCUAUCAGAUGAGCCUAGGUGGGAUUAGCUAGUUGGUGGGGUAAAGGCCUACCAAGGCGACGAUCCGUAACUGGUCUGAGAGGAUGAUCAGUCACAGGGGAACGGAGACACGGGCCAGAAUCGGACGGGAGGCAGGAGUGGGGAAUAUUGGAGAAGGGGCGGAAGGAGGAACCAGGCAAGGGGCGGAAGUGAAAAAGGGCUACGGAUUGUGAAGCACGAUAAGUUGGGAGGAAGGGCAGUAAGUUAAUAACGAGCUGAAAUGACGGUACCAAAAGAAUAAGCACCGGCUAACUACGUG
rnacentral:rRNA from 1 species